rnacentral:lncRNA from 1 species
CAGCACAGCACAGCACACUCCCCUUGUUCUAGUGACCUUCUCCUUUUCCUUUCCAUCACUUUCAGUCAAACAAAACCUUUUUCUUAUCCAAUUUCAAAAAUCUAGAAGUACCCAUCUUUGGAAACAAUUCAAACGUGUCAGUUUCUGACAAAUUUCAAUUUUGUUGCUAACCCAAAAAACUAAAUGUCCCACUUUCAAUUCCUUAACCAUCGUCCAUACCGCGGGAAAACACUUAGCUGUCUUCUUCUCAUUGACAGAACACUCUACAACUUCACCAUGCCUCUUUCCUUCAAACACAUCAUCAUUUUCACUCUUUAUAUAUACAAUUUUCAAN